GUUUCAAACUUGUUUUCCAGGGUCGUCAGCUGUUUGGGAGUGAAUGGAACUCUGGGAUUGCGACCGGGCUUUCGUUUCUGUUUCGGUCGACGUUUACUUGACUCUGAAACAGGACAAGACACAGCGUCGAGACAUGGGAAUGAUGUACUGGCAGUAAAUCUACUUUGAAACUUGAAGAAUUGGAAGUCAAGCUUCUCUUGGGCUGUUGUGUAAAGUAUGAAAGGAUUGAAAUAUGGCCUUGUUCUUUUCUUCAUAUUGUGUUUUUUUUCUUCCUGCUGUGCAAAACCAAAAUGGUUGUGGUUGAAUGGCGAAUCUUUGGACAAUCCCAUUGAACUGGAAAACAAAAAGGAAAAGCGUCAGCUGCGUCACCAUAUGAAAAAAAGAGGAUGUGAAUUAUUAUCUAACUUAAAAAUGUGUGGAAGAAGACGUUCAAAAAUCUUUAUGGACAAUAAAUAAAUGUGUUCAUUAAAGUGUAUUGUUCAUUGUUCGUUUAUUAUCAGCUUAUUCUAUCAAACACUAAAAUUAUACAAAUAUAAUUGUAUGAAAAUAU